GUAACGCGUAGGAAUCUGCCUAGUCGUGGGGGACAACUCGAGGAAACUCGAGCUAAUACCGCAUACGCCCUACGGGGGAAAGCGGGGGAUCUUCGGACCUCGCGCGAUUGGAUGAGCCUGCGUUGGAUUAGCUAGUUGGUGGGGUAAAGGCCUACCAAGGCGACGAUCCAUAGCUGGUCUGAGAGGACGAUCAGCCACACUGGGACUGAGACACGGCCCAGACUCNUACGGGAGGCAGCAGUGGGGAAUAUUGGACAAUGGGCGAAAGCCUGAUCCAGCAAUGCCGCGUGUGUGAAGAAGGCCUGCGGGUUGUAAAGCACUUUCAGUCGGGGGGAAGAGAGGGUCGUUAAUAGCGGCCCAGGAUGACGUAACCGACAGAAGAAGCACCGGCUAACUCCGUGCCAGCGGCCGCGGUAAUACGGAGGGUGCGAGCGUUAAUCGGAAUUACUGGGCGUAAAGGGCGCGUAGGCGGCGUGAUCAGUCAGAUGUGAAAGCCCCGGGCUUAACCUGGGAAUAGCAUUUGAUACUGUCAUGCUCGAGUUUGGUAGAGGGGAGUGGAAUUUCCGGUGUAGCGGUGAAAUGCGUAGAGAUCGGAAGGAACACCAGUGGCGAAGGCGACUCCCUGGACCAAAACUGACGCUGAGGUGCGGAAGCGUGGGUAGCAAACAGGAUUAGAUACCCUGGUAGUCCACGCUGUAAACGAUGAGAACUAGCCGUUGGGCGCAAUUACGCGUUUAGUGGCGCAGCUAACGCAUUAAGUUCUCCGCCUGGGGAGUACGGCCGCAAGGCUGAAACUCAAAUGAAUUGACGGGGGCCCGCACAAGCGGUGGAGCAUGUGGUUUAAUUCGAUGCAACGCGAAGAACCUUACCUGCCCUU
rnacentral:rRNA from 1 species